CAGCAGAGCUAGGGAUCGAGUCCAGGCCUGCUUUCCACCAGAAUCUUGAACUCUUAGCUCUCUUGCCCUCACUUAUUAAAAAGUGGCCAAGCAAUUUACGGGUCUCAUAGUUGGCUCAUAUUGACACCCAGGUGGCAGAAGAUGUUUGAAAGCAAAGGUCUCUGUAGGUCUAAGGUUGCCACAAUUCCACGCAUGGAUCCCAAGUGGCAGGAAUGACGGGCCAGCUCCACCCACAUUCCUCUGGCAUACCUAAGAUGCUGAUGUCAGAGGCUUCCUUAGGAUGAGCCUGGAUCCUCCUGUUGGAUCAAGGCCAGUGGCCAAGUUCAUUAGACAUGGCCUAGAACCUUCUCUAAAAGAAGGGUGGGCAAGCUUGCUGUAGAGGGCCACAUGGGGCAUGUUUUAAUCUUCAAGGGCCAUGCCUUCUGUGUCAUAAGCCCUGUACCCUGCUGUCUGGCUGGAGAGCAGCCACUGCUGACGCACAGGUAGCUGAGCGUGGCUGUGCUCCAAUUACACCUUCUCUAUGGGCACUGAAAUUUUGCACUUGCUCUGCUUUUCACACUUUAUUAUCAUGUCACAAAAUACUCUUUUUCCAUUAGUGCUUUUAAAAUAAAAAAUCCAUGCUUAGCUUGUGGACCAUAUAGAAACAGGAGAUAAGCUAAAUCUGAAUCACCAUAGUUGGCUAGUUUCUGUUCUAGGCUGAUCCAGAGUGACUCCCUCCCAGGGUAGGCUGGUGGCCACAGGGCUUAAGAAAAAAAAAAAAUGGUUUUCCUGAGAAAUGCUUCCAUCAAGAGUGAUCCAUUUAGGUUCAACGUUGCCCUCUUUCCUUCAAUGUGGAAAUACUCUCUAGAGGUAAAAACUAGUAAAUCCCCAAUAAAGUAGCCUAGAGUAAAUUUAUCAAUGAGAGGCAAUUGAAUCGAACUUGGAAUUUGGUUUUAGCCAUUUCUUGUGGGUCAAAAAGUCAGAGCCUCUUCCAUCAGAAAGCUUUCCCUCUCUGGGAGAUGGGGUGGCAGGAGAGGGAGGAAGACAGUAGCUGAGAGCUGAUCCUACAGAAAAUAUUGACCAGUGCCUGGACAUCCAAGGAAGGAAAACAGCUUCCAACUAGGGUGAAGUUAGUUUUCGUGGACUUUGGCAUUUUACAUCUCCCUGAAAGGUUCACAGGGGAGGCACAGUAGUAGAGCAAAAUAUUCCAAGCACAGGGAAUAGUAGACUCUGUUGAAUAUCUAGAGAUAAUGGUGGAAACCUGGGUUAUACCCACACUGAUGUAACUCUGAGAGCUAGCAAGAGCUCCUGAUCCCUUAGUUGGC
rnacentral:lncRNA from 1 species